GACGAACGCUGGCGGCGUGCCUAAUACAUGCAAGUAGGACGCAGUUGCGAACGGGUGAGUAACGCGUAGGUAACUACCUAUUAGAGGGGGAUAACUAUUGGAAACGAUAGCUAAUACCGCAUACUAGUAGAUGGACCUGCGUUGUAUUAGCUAGUAGGUAGGGUAAUGGCCUACCUAGGCAACGAUACAUAGCCGACCUGGUAGGGUGAACGGCCACACUGGGACUGGUGCACGGCCCAGACUCCUACGGGGGGCAACAGUAAGGAAUCUUCGGGAAUGGGGGGAAACCUUGCCGAGCAACGCCGGGUGAGUGGAGAAGGUUUUCGGAUCGUAAAGCUCUGUUGUUAAGGAAGCGGUACUUAACCAGAAAGGGACGGCUAACUACGUGCCAGCAGCCGCGGUAAUUC
rnacentral:rRNA from 1 species